rnacentral:rRNA from 1 species
GACGAACGCUGGCGGCAUGCCUAAUACAUGCAAGUCGAGCGGAACUGGGGGAGCUUGCUCCUUCCAGUUUAGCGGCGGACGGGUGAGUAACACGUGGGCAACCUGCCCUGCAGAUCGGGAUAACUCCGGGAAACCGGUGCUAAUACCGAAUAGUUUGGCGCCUCUCCUGAGGCGCUACGGAAAGACGGUUUCGGCUGUCACUGCAGGAUGGGCCCGCGGCGCAUUAGCUAGUUGGUGGGGUAACGGCCCACCAAGGCGACGAUGCGUAGCCGACCUGAGAGGGUGACCGGCCACACUGGGACUGAGACACGGCCCAGACUCCGACGGGAGGCAGCAGUAGGGAAUCUUCCGCGAUGGACGCAAGUCUGACGGAGCAACACCGCGUGAGUGACGAAGGUUUUCGGAUCGUAAAACUCUGUUGUGAGGGAAGAACACGUACCGACUAACUAUUGGUACCUUGACGGUACCUCGCCAGAAAGCCACGGCUAACUACGUGCCAGCCGCCGCGGUAA